GACAUAGGUGGCAAACGUUUAUCCGGAAUUAUUGGGCGUAAAGAGCGUGUAGGCGGCCAGAUAAGUCCGCUGUGAAAUCUCGAGGCUCAACUUCGAGCUGUCGGUGGAAACUAUCUGGCUAGAGUCCGGAAGAGGAGAAUGGAAUUCCUGGUGUAGCGGUGAAAUGCGCAGAUAUCAGGAAGAACACCCGUGGCGAAGGCGGUUCUCUGGGACGGUACUGACGCUGAGGCGCGAAAGCCAGGGGAGCGAACGGG
rnacentral:rRNA from 1 species